rnacentral:rRNA from 1 species
UACGGAGGGGACUAGCGUUGUUCGGAAUUACUGGGCGUAAAGCGCACGUAGGCGGAUUUGUAAGUCAGGGGUGAAAUCCCGGGGCUCAACCUCGGAACUGCCUUUGAUACUGCAAAUCUCGAGUCCGGAAGAGGUGAGUGGAAUUCCUAGUGUAGAGGUGAAAUUCGUAGAUAUUAGGAAGAACACCAGUGGCGAAGGCGGCUCACUGGUCCGGUACUGACGCUGAGGUGCGAAAGCGUGGGGAGCAACAGG